UAUGUGCUCUAGGAUGACCCCGCUUGAGCUGGGAGGUUGGACCGGAUGACCUACUGUGGUCCCUUCCAACCUGACCCAUUCUGUGAUUCUGUUUCUUUAAAAUAAUUAA